rnacentral:rRNA from 1 species
AGAGUUUGAUCCUGGCUCAGAUUGAACGCUGGCGGAAUGCUUUACACAUGCAAGUCGAACGGCAGCACGGACUUCGGUCUGGUGGCGAGUGGCGAACGGGUGAGUAACAUAUCGGAACGUAUCCAAUAGUGGGGGAUAACUAAUCGAAAGGUUGGCUAAUACCGCAUACGCCCUACGGGGGAAAGCUAGGGACCUUCGGGCCUGGCGUUAAUGGAGCGGCCGAUAUCUGAUUAGCUAGUUGGUGGGGUAAAGGCCCACCAAGGCGACGAUCAGUAGCUGGUCUGAGAGGACGACCAGCCACACUGGAACUGAGACACGGUCCAGACUCCUACGGGAGGCAGCAGUGGGGAAUUUUGGGCAAUGGGCGCAAGCCUGAUCCAGCCAUUCCGCGUGAGUGAAGAAGGCCUUCGGGUUGUA